UACGAAGGGGGCUAGCGUUGCUCGGAAUUACUGGGCGUAAAGGGCGCGUAGGCGGAUAUUUAAGUUAGAGGUGAAAGCCCAGGGCUCAACCCUGGAAUAGCCUUUAAUACUGGAUAUCUUGAGUUCGGGAGAGGUGAGUGGAACUCCGAGUGUAGAGGUGAAAUUCGUAGAUAUUCGGAAGAACACCCGUGGCGAAGGCGGCUCUCUGGGACGGUACUGGACGCUGAGACGCGAAAGCGUGGGGAGCCG
rnacentral:rRNA from 1 species